UGGGGAAUUUUGGACAAUGGGCGAAAGCCUGAUCCAGCCAUGCCGCGUGCAGGAUGAAGGCCUUCGGGUUGUAAACUGCUUUUGUACGGAACGAAAAGACUCUGGUUAAUACCUGGGGUCCAUGACGGUACCGUAAGAAUAAGCACCGGCUAACUACGUGCCAGCAGCCGCGGUAAUACGUAGGGUGCAAGCGUUAAUCGGAAUUACUGGGCGUAAAGCGUGCGCAGGCGGUUAUAUAAGACAGAUGUGAAAUCCCCGGGCUCAACCUGGGAACUGCAUUUGUGACUGUAUAGCUAGAGUACGGCAGAGGGGGAUGGAAUUCCGCGUGUAGCAGUGAAAUGCGUUGAUAUGCGGAGGAACACCGAUGGCGAAGGCAUCCCCUGGGCCUGUACUGACGCUCAUGCACGAAAGCGUGGGGAGCAAACAGGAUUAGAUACCCUGGUAGUCCACGCCCUAAACGAUGUCAACUGGUUGUUGGGGUCUUUCACUGACUCAGUAACGAAGCUAACGCGUGAAGUUGACCGCCUGGGGAGUACGGCCGCAAGGUUGAAACUCAAA
rnacentral:rRNA from 1 species